CCCUUCGGGGUGUGACUGCGUACCUUUUGUAUAAUGGGUCAGCGACUUAUAUUCUGUAGCAAGGUUAACCGUAUAGGGGAGCCGGAGGGAAACCGAGUCUUAAUUGGGCGUUAAGUUGCAGGGUAUAGACCCGAAACCCGGUGAUCUAGCCAUGGGCAGGUUGAAGGUUGGGUAACACUAACUGGAGGACCGAACCGACUAAUGUUGAAAAAUUAGCGGAUGACCUGUGGCUGGGGGUGAAAGGCCAAUCAAACCGGGAGAUAGCUGGUUCUCCCCGAAAGCUAUUUAGGUAGCGCCUCGUGAAUUCAUCUCCGGGGGUAGAGCACUGUUUCGGCUAGGGGGCCAUCCCGGCUUACCAACCCGAUGCAAACUGCGAAUACCGGAGAAUGUUAUCACGGGAGACACACGGCGGGUGCUAACGUCCGUCGUGAAGAGGGAAACAACCCAGACCGCCAGCUAAGGUCCCAAAGUCAUGGUUAAGUGGGAAACGAUGUGGGAAGGCCCAGACAGCCAGGAUGUUGGCUUAGAAGCAGCCAUCAUUUAAAGAAAGCGUAAUAGCUCACUGGUCGAGUCGGCCUGCGCGGAAGAUGUAACGGGGCUAAACCAUGCACCGAAGCUGCGGCAGCGAACGUAUCACCCAAGACAACUUUACGGAGUUGACGAUUGACGGAGCGAAGCGACGUCAAAGCGUUCAUUAAAGUCGAGUUGGCUUAGGGAUACGUUCGUUGGGUAGGGGAGCGUUCUGUAAGCCUGUGAAGGUGUGUCGUGAGGCAUGCUGGAGGUAUCAGAAGUGCGAAUGCUGACAUAAGUAACGAUAAAGCGGGUGAAAAGCCCGCUCGCCGGAAGACCAAGGGUUCCUGUCCAACGUUAAUCGGGGCAGGGUGAGUCGACCCCUAAGGCGAGGCCGAAAGGCGUAGUCGAUGGGAAACGGGUUAAUAUUCCCGUACUUGGUGUUACUGCGAAGGGGGGACGGAGAAGGCUAUGUUGGCCGGGCGACGGUUGUCCCGGUUUAAGCGUGUAGGUGUGUGUUCCAGGUAAAUCCGGUUCACUUUAACACUGAGGCGUGACGACGAGGCACUACGGUGCUGAAGCAACAAAUGCCCUGCUUCCAGGAAAAGCCUCUAAGCAUCAGGUAACAUCAAAUCGUACCCCAAACCGACACAGGUGGUCAGGUAGAGAAUACCAAGGCGCUUGAGAGAACUCGGGUGAAGGAACUAGGCAAAAUGGUGCCGUAACUUCGGGAGAAGGCACGCUGACACGUAGGUGAAGUGAUUUACUCAUGGAGCUGAAGUCAGUCGAAGAUACCAGCUGGCUGCAACUGUUUAUUAAAAACACAGCACUGUGCAAACACGAAAGUGGACGUAUACGGUGUGACGCCUGCCCGGUGCCGGAAGGUUAAUUGAUGGGGUCAGCGCAAGCGAAGCUCCUGAUCGAAGCCCCGGUAAACGGCGGCCGUAACUAUAACGGUCCUAAGGUAGCGAAAUUCCUUGUCGGGUAAGUUCCGACCUGCACGAAUGGCGUAAUGAUGGCCAGGCUGUCUCCACCCGAGACUCAGUGAAAUUGAACUCGCUGUGAAGAUGCAGUGUACCCGCGGCAAGACGGAAAGACCCCGUGAACCUUUACUAUAGCUUGACACUGAACAUUGAGCCUUGAUGUGUAGGAUAGGUGGGAGGCUUUGAAGUGUGGACGCCAGUCUGCAUGGAGCCGACCUUGAAAUACCACCCUUUAAUGUUUGAUGUUCUAACGUGGACCCGUAAUCCGGGUUGCGGACAGUGUCUGGUGGGUAGUUUGACUGGGGCGGUCUCCUCCUAAAGAGUAACGGAGGAGCACGAAGGUUGGCUAAUCCUGGUCGGACAUCAGGAGGUUAGUGCAAUGGCAUAAGCCAGCUUGACUGCGAGCGUGACGGCGCGAGCAGGUGCGAAAGCAGGUCAUAGUGAUCCGGUGGUUCUGAAUGGAAGGGCCAUCGCUCAACGGAUAAAAGGUACUCCGGGGAUAACAGGCUGAUACCGCCCAAGAGUUCAUAUCGACGGCGGUGUUUGGCACCUCGAUGUCGGCUCAUCACAUCCUGGGGCUGAAGUAGGUCCCAAGGGUAUGGCUGUUCGCCAUUUAAAGUGGUACGCGAGCUGGGUUUAGAACGUCGUGAGACAGUUCGGUCCCUAUCUGCCGUGGGCGCUGGAGAACUGAGGGGGGCUGCUCCUAGUACGAGAGGACCGGAGUGGACGCAUCACUGGUGUUCGGGUUGUCAUGCCAAUGGCACUGCCCGGUAGCUAAAUGCGGAAGAGAUAAGUGCUGAAAGCAUCUAAGCACGAAACUUGCCCCGAGAUGAGUUCUCCCUGAGACUUAGAGUCUCCUGAAGGAACGUUGAAGACGACGACGUUGAUAGGCCGGGUGUGUAAGCGCAGCGAUGCGUUGAGCUAACCGGUACUAAUGAACCGUGAGGCUUAACCUUACA
rnacentral:rRNA from 1 species